UACGUAGGGUGCGAGCGUUAAUCGGAAUUACUGGGCGUAAAGCGUGCGCAGGCGGCUAUUUAAGCUUGCUGUGAAAGCCCCGGGCUUAACCUGGGAAUGGCAGUGAGGACUGGAUGGCUGGAGUGUGGCAGAGGGGGGUGGAAUUCCACGUGUAGCAGUGAAAUGCGCAGAUAUCAGGAAGAACACCAAUGGCGAAGGCAGCUCUCUGGGACGGUACUGACGCUGAGACGCGAAAGCGUGGGGAGCGAACAGG
rnacentral:rRNA from 1 species